rnacentral:rRNA from 1 species
AGUCGAACGGGAAACCUGAUUUCGAUUAGGUGGAGAGUGGCGCACGGGUGAGUAACACGUAGCUUAUCUGCCCCGAAGAGUGGGAUAACGCACCGAAAGGUGUGCUAAUACCGCAUAAGCUCACAGGCUGUAGAGGCUGGUGAGAAAAGGCUUAGGCGCUUUGGGAUGAGGCUGCGGCCCAUCAGCUAGUUGGUAAGGUAAGAGCUUACCAAGGCAACGACGGGUAGGGGGCCUGAGAGGGUGAACCCCCACACUGGGACUGAGACACGGCCCAGACUCCUACGGGAGGCAGCAGUGAGGAAUAUUGCUCAAUGGACGCAAGUCUGAAGCAGCGACGCCGCGUGGGCGAUGAAGGUCUUCGGAUCGUAAAGCCCUUUUCUUGGUGACGAGGAAGGACGGUAGCCAAGGAAUAAGUGUCGGCUAACUACGUGCCAGCAGCCGCGGUAAAACGUAGGACGCAAGCGUUAUCCGGAAUUACUGGGCGUAAAGAGCGUGUAGGCGGAUGCUUAAGUCAGCCGUGAAAGCUCCCGGCUAAACUGGGAGAGGUCGGUUGAUACUGGGUGUCUAGAGGACGAUAGAGGGGUGCGGAAUUCCGGGUGUAGUGGUGAAAUGCGUAGAUAUCCGGAGGAACACCAGAGGCGAAGGCGGCGCCCUGGAUCGUGCCUGACGCUGAGACGCGAAAGCAUGGGUAGCGAACGGGAUUAGAAACCCCGGUAGUCCAUGCCGUAAACGAUGCACACUAGAUGUUCGCGUACCUACGGGUGCGUGAGUGUCGCAGCAAACGCGGUAAGUGUGCCGCCUGGGGAGUACGGUCGCAAGGCUAAAACUCAAAGGAAUUGACGGGGGUCCGCACAAGCAGCGGAGCGUGUGGUUUAAUUCGAGGCUACGCGAAGAACCUUACCUGGGCUUGACAUCCCACGAACAAACCUGAAAAGGGGCGGUUCCUUCGGGACGUGGAGACAGGUGCUGCAUGGCUGUCGUCAGCUCGUGUCGUGAGAUGUUCGGUUAAGUCCGAAAACGAGCGCAACCCUCGGUGUUAGUUACAAGUGUCUAACACGACUGCCUGCGGCAAGCAGGAGGAAGGUGGGGAUGACGUCAAGUCAGCAUGGCCUUUAUGUCCAGGGCUACACACACGCUACAAUGGCGCGUACAAUGGGUCGCGAAACCGCGAGGUGAAGCCAAUCCUGCAAAGCGCGUCGUAGUUCGGAUUGUAGGCUGCAACUCGCCUGCAUGAAGUCGGAGUUGCUAGUAACCGCAGAUCAGCACGCUGCGGUGAUACGUUCCCGGGCCUUGUACACACCGCCCGUCACGUCAUGGGAGCUGGUCACGCCUGAAGUCGGGAAGCUAACCUAACGGAGGCUACUGCC